GGGGAUAUAGGUCAAUGGUACUGUACCUGCUUGGCAAGUACAAAGUCCUGGGUUCAAUUCCCAGUGCCCCCC
rnacentral:tRNA from 1 species